UACGUAGGGUGCAAGCGUUGUCCGGAAUUAUUGGGCGUAAAGGGCUCGUAGGCGGUCCGUCACGUCGGGAGUGAAAACUUGGGGCUUAACCCCAAGCCUGCUUCCGAUACGGGCGGACUAGAGGUAGGCAGGGGAGAACGGAAUUCCUGGUGUAGCGGUGAAAUGCGCAGAUAUCAGGAGGAACACCGGUGGCGAAGGCGGCAUCCUGGACCGACACUGACACUGAGGAGCGAAAGCCAGGGGAGCAAACGGG
rnacentral:rRNA from 1 species